UUCAUUUAUUUUUGUUAAUUUAACACUUUUUUUCAAGGAAAUUUCUUUUGAGAUGAGGAAAUAAACUUUAUAGUAAGUUACCCUAUAUUUUCAGAUUUUAGGUGCAGACAUGUAGGUUAAGUUUAUAGUCUGUACGACAGUACACUUCUGCAUAUUUUGUUCGUGUGUGUGUGUGUGUGUGUGUGUGUGUGUGUGUGUGUGUAAACUUCCAGGCAUAUCCUACCUAACAUCUAACCAUUCUCUAUUCUCACCACUCUUGUAUGGAGGAAUUUUUAAUAUGCUUACAACAUAUUUCUUCGAGAAAAAUAAGACUAUUUAAAUGCAAAGUUAUCUGUAAAAUAUCUUUUUCCAUUUUUUGAGUAUUCACUCAUUUAAAUGACAAAGAAAUUAUUCCGCUUGAAAAUUAUAAAGGAUAUAGUGCUUUUGUCAUAGACACUUUUACUUUCCCUCAUAAUGCCUUUUUUUUGUCUGUCCAGGUCUAUUUCCAAAAACCAUCCUAAAUUGGACCUUACUAAAAAUGACACCAAAUAAUAGCAGAAGGCGAGUGGUGAGCAGGACAAUUGACUUUCACUUUCAAACUUCGCUAAAACUAGAUGUGUAUUUAUACUUUUCAUGAUGUACCUUGGUCAAGAACAUAUUGAAAUUAUAUUAAAUUAUCUAUUAAAAACCAAAAUUAUUUUUGGGAAACUCUCCCCCUGUGUAAUUUUUAGUUUUACUCUUCUCUACUAGUACAUAGUUAAAGCAAAUAUUAUGUGGCAUGGUUACUGUCAGUAUUUCACCCAUUUUGGUGAAAAAAAUGUAAGUCUUACAAAUAGCUUACAGAAAAAUAAUAAACUCUUUUAAGAAAGUGAAAUAUGCUUUUAAGAUAUGCUUUCAGUUAAUUUCUAAUCUAGAAGGAGGCUUAUUUGGUGGUUGUACCCUAUAAUUAGGGAGAUCAGUAAUCAAGACAACUGUGAUUUAUUUUACUAGGAGAGCUCAGAGACUGAAGACAUCUGGCCUAGACCAGUCUGCUGGUAAAAUUCAGAAUACACCUAAAUUUGCUUUUACAGGAUUCUCUUCAGAGGAAUAGGAGGAGAGGUUAUAUUCUCUGCAUGAGGACAAGUCUACAGUGUCAAAAUCAAGUAAUAUUUGUCUUCUGACAGCAGAACGUUGUAUCAUAUUUCUAAGGACGGUAAGCACUUGGGUGGACGUCAAUGAAUACUAAACACUAAUUGGUCUGAUACAUCCAUAUGCACAUACGCAAAUACACAUGGUGGCCUGUAAUGGUUGAAAAAUUACAUUUUGCUUCCAUGAAGAGAUGUGUCACUUUUAGGUCAGAGAGGGAUUUUGGAGGGGUAAUCUCCCACAAUAGAAAACUAUCCUGACAAUGGUGGUGGUUGAGCGUUGUUUGUUGUUUGGCUUGUUGAUGAUGCUUAGCCAAGGAGACACUUCCUUUCAGAUCCUGUCUUCCAAACCCCAGGGCUCUGUUCUGGGCAGUUCAGCCUAAUGGAAUUAAGCCUGACACGUUUCAACUCUAUUUCUUUAUAAAAUAAACAUAAAACAAUGGUUUCGAUUUCUAAUAAAACUCUUGAAGCAUGUGG
rnacentral:lncRNA from 1 species